CAAUCAUACAUCGCAAUUCAGCCAAUAAAUACCGAUAUAUGAUUUUUUGGCCAUAUCGGGUGAGUUUGUAUUGAGGUGUAUUUCUCUGAAGCGUCAGUGGUUGGAGCCUGUGCGCCUCACACACACACACACACACACACACUGAAGGAAAGAAAACCAGCUCUCCUCCUCGAGUGGGACAGAAGGAGCCCGUUUAAUCUGCAGCAGAAGAGGCAUCGAGUAAUUGAUCGCCAGAUGUUUCUCGUGAGGAGCUGAUGUCGCUUUCUGAAGGACUGUAGAGGCUCGUGAAUGAAGGUGAGUGUCUGAACUCCAGUCUGACGCGCUCAGGGUUUCAUUCGCCGUGUUUGUCGAGAAACGCGCUGGCGAUCUGUGAGCCGCGCGCAGAUUUCGGGUCGUUCGCGUGCGUUUAAUCGGGUUCGAGCGAAAGUUUCGACGCUUUCUCGCGAGCCUCGCCGGUUCCUGCUGCAGUGUCUCGGGAUCAUUGUCACGAGCAGCUGUCAGCACUUAGGUUUAGUUUAAGGGAAAUAAAGUGGGGAUGAUGUGAUGGACGGAGAAACAGUUUUUCUUUAACUGCAUUUGAAUUUGAGACUUUAGAAGUCUGUGCAGAGUUUGUGUCAGUUUAUUCUUUGAUUAGCUUAGAUUUUCAAGCAUGCACAUGAUUAGUAAUGAAAGCAAACACAUCAAGUUCUCAUUAGUGUUUAGAUUAUUAUCGGAAGUUUCUUGACACGCUGAUGAAUUGCGGUUUGAUCGGAGAUGACGGACGAUAGGCUAUUAAAUCAUAUUGCAUAACUCCUAGGGAUAUGAUUUAUUGUUCCUCAUCAAGGUCUUACGAAAUAUUCUGUUUGACUGUUCUUGUAGAUGUUGAGAGAUCUGAACAUCAUAAAUCCAUAAGGAGCUUCAUUCAUCUACGGACUGAGGUCGGCCGUCAGUGUGGAGUAACUGUGGAGGGAGCAGCGUGUGCGUGCGUGUCUUUCCAUGCCCUGGUCGUGCGGGCGGGCGGCUCGAGUCUCAGGGAUGGAGCUACAGGUUGGGACGGUUGGGACCCGCUGGAUGCCACUGCUGCUUCUGCUGGGUGUGCUGUGGCUGUGCUCGUCCGCUCAGGGUGCUGCUGAUCUCCGUCAAGUGUUCUGGCGUUCGAUCAGAUGAAAACAUGAGUCAAGGACAGGCUGGAGUGGGAGAGAAGUGCUGCUUCAAUGCGUGGAGACCUCCAGCGCUCCUCCACACAUGAGUCAGCCACAGGAGUUCCUCCCGGAGCGUGUGGGCAGGUGCAGGUGGAGGUGUCACGCUGUAGUUUUUGGGUGAAACUCCCACACGGCCGUCUGAAAUGAGGAGCAGGGACACAGUGAAUGAAGACUGAGACACAGCUUGCUUCAAAACCUAGUGAGCUGCCUGUCUAGACAACCUUUUAAGGGUCCAUAGACACACUUCUGGUGUGAAGUAUUUAUCUUCAAAGACUUAUCUUCAUUUUGGCUAAGCAUUCAUCCUUCACAGAGAAGUCGUUCCCAGAAUGCAGAUCAGAAGAGGUGAAAAAAAAAAAAUACUAAUAAUUAUGCAAAUUAAUAUAAUGGACAAGCAAAGACUGAAAAAAUAGACUUGUUUCAUUGGGGAUGAAAUUGAACAUUAUAAUUAAAUAAUUACAUAAUAACAUAAUUAAACUACAUAAUUAAAAAUG
ensembl:lncRNA